GGGCAGAGAGGCAGGGAGACCAAGGAUCUGAAGCAGGCUGUGCGCUGACGUGAGAUCAUGACCUGAGCCAAAGUUGGGCGCUUAACCUUCUGAGCCACCCAGGCGCCCCCCCCCUUUUUUUUUUUAAGAUAAGUGUGUUCUUAGUCCCCUUCACCUAUUUCACUCAUCCCCCCACCCAAGCAUCUGAACUCUUAAUUCCUAGGUUUUCCUCCUCUGUAAGACAAACCCCUAGUCCUGGGCUAACCCGUCCCUCCCCAGCCCCCAGGAGCUUCGAUCCCUUGGCUAUUCCUAUUGACCCCCUCUGUCUUCCUACCUUUCCUUCUCUUCUGCGCUCUUCAACGUCAUUUUGCAAACAAGCUGUCACUCCUAGGUCAAAACAAAACCCCUCCCCUAACCCACAGCCUCCUCCAGUUCUCUUUUGACUUGCAUAUCCACAAGAUAUCUCUAUUGGGUAUCCUCACCUGGAAGUCUCACAGCCAUCCCAAACCAAAUACAGUAAAACCUUGUUUGGUGAGGGUUCCCCAAGGUGAGCAAACACUUCUAAUCAAAUUUAAUUUGCCAAACGAGUGGUGUCUUGCAAUGCGAGUAGUACGUGACGAUGAUCGCAACUGAGCCGAUGGUUCUUGAAAUUUGCUCCGAGAUACAAGCGCUUUGGAUGACAAUCACGUUUCCGGACCGAAUUAAUGCUCGCAAACCAAGGUUUUCCCGGAUAUACCAAACUGAACCCUUGAUCCCUCCGCUUCUCCUCCAAAAAACACCUGUUCUCGUGGUCUUUCCCUCUCGGUAAAUGACACCACCAUCCACCCUGUUGCUCCGACCAGGAACUUGGGCAUGACCCUUGCCCUCUUCUCCCUGCUCUACACGCGGUCACAAGUCUCGCUUCUACUAAGUCUCUCUCGUCUGUGCAGUUCACGCCAUCUCCACUGCCUCUGCCUUCGUGCCGUCACCAUCAUUGCUCACCCAGACCACAAACCACAGCCUCCUACCAGGCUGCUCCCAGCCUACCCUGCCCUACUUCCAACCAGUCUGACCUCAGCAGUCCACACAGCAACCCCGGUGAGAGUCCUUCAACCCAGAGCGCAGACCCUCCGUCCGAGUUCGAACCCUUCAAUGUUUGCCUGGGCCUCAGGGUAGAAUCCAAACUCUCUCUCAAGGCCUAGAGGCUCCCGGUGAUCUGACCCCAGCUUCCGCCUUCAGCCCUGUUCCCUCAUCACCCCUUCUGUCAGCACCCUCUCCUGCCACCACCCACCGAACACGUCCCCUUUCUGCACUUACUUCCACAUAGAGUGACUUUCAGUUCCAUCAAGUCUCCCAGCUUUCCCCCGACCGGGCCUCUUUGCAGGCCUCUGCCCAGGAUGUGAACGUGCCCCUUCUUCCUUCUGCCCAGGAUGUGAACGUGCCCCACUCGGUGCCCCGGACCUGAGUCCUCCGCAGCCCGCGGGGCUCAGCUGGCUCUUCCUGGGCCCCUCCCCCAUCAGGGCAGGACUUCGUGCCUUCCGGGGCCGCAUUAGAGGCUGCGACUGUCUAUCUACACUCACCUGCCGCACCGUAGGCCGUGAGCCUCUGAAGACUGGAGUCUGUGGAUGUGGCUCAUCCCCGCAGCCCAGCACCCAGCACCCAGCCCUGCGGGUCUGCCUCAUCGCCCGUGCUCAUUGCCCUUCCGUUCCCAUGCCCCGUGGAAACAUUUUUGUUUUCUAACGAAUACCCUAUUAGAUGUACAUGUCGAGAGUUACAAAUGUGUCACUAGAAGUUCAUGACUUUUGAACCAGUUUCCUCAUUUUAAGUGGAAGGAAACCGAAGUCCCCAAAGCUGAAGUGAUUGUUCGCAGCAGGCCCGUUGUAGCGAUAAAACUGGGACCAGACCUCAGAUUUCUUCUUCUUCUUUUUGUAACAGUUUAUUUAUUUAGGAGUCUCUACACCCAACGUGGGGUUCAAACUCAUGACUCUGAGUCUAAGAGUCACAUGCUUUUCUGACUGAGCCAGCCGGGUGCCCCUAGAUCUCGGAUUUCUUGCUUCUAGUACUCUAUCACCUCUCUUACACCAUGCGGUGAUGGAUUAAAGGUGACCCUGAGUUCUUUGAUACUCUUCCUGAUGGUGAGCUCUGUAUCCCCUUCCCUUGAAUCCACGUGGGUUUUGCAACUGCUCAGACCAAUAAAGUAGAGCAAAAGAGAUAUACUGGGCAGAGCCCAAACUGAAAACGUAGGGUCCCUUCUAAACAUUGAUUAAGAAUUUCAAGAUGGCGGGGUGCCCACGUGACUCAGUUCAUAGAGCAUGUGACUCUUGAUCUCAGAGUCAUGGGUUCGAGUCCCAUGUUGGAUGUAGAGAAUGCUGAAAAAAUGAAAUAAACUUUAAAAAAUAGAAUAUUUCGGGGGCACCUGGGUGGCUCAGUCGGUCAAGUCUCUGACUCUGGCUCAGGUCAUGAUCUCCCGGUUCGAGAGUUCCGGCCCGUGUCGGGCUCUGUGCUGACAGCCCGGAGCCGGGAACCUGCUUCGGAUUCUCUGUCUCCCUCUCUCUCUGCCCCUCCCCAGCUCGCAUUCUGUCUGUCUCUCUCUCUCAAAAACAAAAACAAAUCAAAAAUUUAAAAAAAAAGAAUAAAAAAUUUUUUUGAAAGAAUUUCAAGAUGGCAGAGAAGCAGGGCCUUGAACUUAGCAGCGCCCCGUGUGACUGCACAGUCUGUGUGCCCAUGAACAUGCCAGUUUCAGGGCUCAGGUCGGAAGAAACCGGCAGCGGCUUCCAGUUCCUAUUUCUUGGAACGUUCAGUCAAGCCAGAUGCCAUGCAAGCAGUCAGCUGCCCUGAGAUCACCACGCUGCGAGAAGCCCAGGCUACACGGAGAGGCCCUGGAGGAUGAGAUGCCACGUGCAGAGGAACAGACCGAGGAGCGCCAGGUGCUCAGCAUGUGAGCGUCGGGGUUCACAACAAUCACCCCAAGAUGUGCCACUUUCGCAUGCGGAUUCGUUCAAGCUGAAAGCAAUCAAGGCCCAAAAGACUCAGGAAGAGGGGCGCCUGGGUGGCUCAGUCGGUUGGGCGUUGGACGUCAGCUUAGGUCAUGGUCUCACAGCUCAUGGGUUCGAGCCCUGCAUCAGGCUCUGUGCUGAUAGCUCAGAGCCUGGAGCCUGCUUUGGAUUCUGUCUCAGUCUCUCUCUGCCUCUCCCCACUCACGCUCUGUCUCUCCCUCUCUCAAAUAUAAAUAACAAUUUUUUAACAAAGUAAAUGUGAGUUCAGAAUACUUCCCUUGGCCCCUAGGAAUACUUCUCUGUCAUUGCACUUAUAACACUGUAUGAAAAUUAAUUGUCUGUGUGUCUGUUUCCUUGACUAGAUCAAUGUUUUUCAAACUGUGGAUGCAACCUAUUAAUGGGUUAUGAAAUAUAUGUAUUUUUUAUUAAAAUUUUUUUUAAUGUU